rnacentral:misc_RNA from 1 species
GAUGAAGAACGUAGUGAAAUGCGAUAAGUAAUGUGAAUUGCAGAAUUCAGUGAAUCAUCGAAUCUUUGAACGCACAUUGCGCCCAUUAGUAUUCUAGUGGGCAUGUCUGUUCGAGCGUCAUUAAUUCCACUUAAGCCCUGCUUAGUGUUGGGAAUCUACUCUAGUGGUGCUACCCUGGAGCUACCCCUGAAAGGGGGCUGGCCCGGUAGCUACCCUGUAGUUCCUCAAAGAUAGUGCGCGGAGUUGCGUGGUCCUCUGAGCUUAGUAACUAUACACCUAGCUUUUGAGUGUCCCGCGGCGCCUGCCGUUUAAACCCCAUCUUUUAAUGGUUGACCUCGGAUCAGGUAGGAAUACCCGCUGAACUUAAGCAUAUCAAUAAGCGGAGGA